AUUAAACGCUGGCGGCAUGCCUUACACAUGCAAGUCGAACGGCAGCACGGGGGCAACCCUGGUGGCGAGCGGCGAACGGGUGAGUAAAGCAUCGGAACGUGCCCUGGAGUGGGGGGAUAACGUAGCGAAAGUUACGCUAAUACCGCAUAUUCUGUGAGCAGGAAAGCAGGGGAUCGCAAGACCUUGCGCUCUGGGAGCGGCCGAUGUCGGAUUAGCUAGUUGGUGGGGUAAAGGCCUACCAAGGCGACGAUCCGUAGCGGGUCUGAGAGGAUGAUCCGCCACACUGGGACUGAGACACGGCCCAGACUCCUACGGGAGGCAGCAGUGGGGAAUUUUGGACAAUGGGCGAAAGCCUGAUCCAGCCAUGCCGCGUGAGUGAAGAAGGCCUCGGUU
rnacentral:rRNA from 1 species